AAUGAACGCUGGCGGCAUGCCUAACACAUGCAAGUCGAGCGGAUGAAGGAGGCUUUCUCUUGGCUGCAGCGGCGGACGGGUGCGUGAUGCCUAGGUAUCUGACCGAUCUUUGGGGCUAACGUCACUUCACGGGCCCUAAUAUCGCACACGUUCAUAGUUAGAAACGCGGGGUUCUACGGACCUCACGCUAUUAGCUGUGCCUAGGACGGAUUAGCUAGUUGGUGGGGUAAAGUCUUACCAAGGCGACGAUCCGUAACUGAUCUGAGAGGCUGAUCAGUCACACUGGAACUGAGACACGGUCCAGACUCCUACGGGAGGCAGCAGUGGGGAAUAUUGGACAAUGGGCGAAAGCCUGAUGCAGCCACGCCGCGUGUGUGAGGAAGGUCUUCGGAUCGUAAAGCUCUUUUAGUAGGGAUGAACGGCUGUGUAUGAAACCGUUAAUGUCUUGACGGUACCUAAUGAGGAAGCCACGGCUAACUUCGUG
rnacentral:rRNA from 1 species